UUUCUUUCUCUCUCUCUCUCUUUCUUUCUUUUUCUUUCUUUCUUUCUUCUCCUUCCUUCCUUCCUUCCUUCCUCUUUCUUUCUCUCUUUCUCUCUUUCUUUCUUACAGAGUUUUGCUCUUGUUGCCCAGGCUGGAGCGCAAUGGCGCAAUCUCGGCUCACCACAUCCUCUGCCUCCUGGGUUCAAGUGAUUCUCCUGCCUCAGCCUCCUUAGUAGCUGGGAUUACAGGCAUGCGCCACCACGCCCAGCUGAUUUUGUAUUUUUAGUAGAGACAGGGUUUCUCCUUGUUGGUCAGGCUGGUCUCAAACUCCCGACCUCAGGGGAUCCACCCACCUCGGCCUCCCAAAGUGCUGGGAUUAUGGGCAUGAGCCACUGUGCCCGGCCGGACUCCCAUUUCUGAAUUUGCUUGUCAGGUCUCAUAACAGAUCACUGGAAGGAAGAAGCAUAGCCUGAUCACCCAGCCUGAUUGAGGAUGAAAUGGAAAUCUAGGGGUCAGAAGAAAAUGGGAAAGGAACCAUCAGCCUCAGUCAUUUCAACAGAGCCAACCCACAGACCAUGACCAAGCAAAUCUUGCCAUCGUGAUCAUGACCAGUUAGCAUUUAGAAUGUAUCGCUGUAUGCUUUGAUGAUUUUGAUGCUGCCUUUUUGGAUUUACCCUAUAAGAAAGACUCCCUGAACUCCAACACUAUCUCCAGCAUUAUUCACAUUUUCAGGCAGUGUGGUCCCCCAGCUAACAGCAUUAGCACCAGCUCAGAGCUUGCUAGAAAUGCAAAUGCUUAGACCUACUGAGUCAGGAAUUUGGGGCACGGGCCCAGCAAUCUGUGUUUUACAAAACCUCCCAGGUUUGCUGACUUCAGAGGAUUGCCUUUGUGUAAUUUCGGCACAGUGGGAAGUGACAGAGUAUCAACAGUCAUACUUCUAGAAUGAGAGCGAACCUUGGCGCUACUUUCCUGCUGGGAACAUCAGUGGCUCCUCUCUGCCUGGAGGAGAGACAUUUCUUCAGCACCAGCUGCAUUCAGGAUGGUGCGUUAGUUCCUGUGAGAUGCUCAAAGAACAAAGGACGAGGCUCUGACAUGAUGCUGCGUCAAAACUACACAGAGAUUCUGGAGAGUAAGCUCUUGCCCUAGGGAACAGCUGGACAAGACCAUGGGUUUUUAUGUCCUUUUCUCCUGGGACCCACAUUCCAGAGGCAAUAACAUCUAUUGUUCCUGGGUUCUGAUCCUCAAUCUAUUGCUUUGUCAUCUUUCACUAGUGAUAACCCAGUCUGGGUGUAGAUAGAUAGAUAGAUAAAUAGAUAGAUAGAUAAUGUCCAGCUUUUCUAUUUACUCUUAGUGGGAGGGUUGCUCUAAGACAAGCUAUUCCAUCAUAGCUAGAACAGAAGAUGCAAACCCUGAUUUUUCAAUGCUGGCAAAGAAUCUAAUUUUUUUUUUUUUUUUUGAGAAAGAAUCUAAUUUUUAAAAUAUGUUGUGUGAUCCAACACUUAAAAGCCAAAUAAAACAUAUCUUUAGGCCACAGCCAGUUUUGGCCCACAGGCUGCCAACCUGUGACCUCUGGUGUAUUGGAAUGCAAGCGAGUAAGAGUUCUGCUUCAAUCGGGAGGCCUUGACUCUUAUGAUUUAUGUUUGUAGUGUGUAGAGUCCAGCUUUGAAGAGGACUGGACUCUCUUUGGUCAGCAACCAGAGUAUAGACAUCUGAAUCCACCUUCCCCCCGGCUUUCCCCCAAAUUGGUUUCUUAUUCCUGGGGACCCAAAAGAGAAAAGUGAUUGCAUGAGAUCAAUGAAAUAAGUACUGGGCCUGGAGUCAGAUUGGACCUAGGUUCUAAUCCUGAUUCUGCCACUUAUUAGUUACGUGACUUUGCAUAAGCCACUUAACUUGCUUUGGGUGUAAGUUUCUUGAAAUGUUGUUAAAAUUCCCUUCAUAGGAUUCAAAUUGUUGACAUAAUUUAAUAAUAAUGAGACUGUCCUGGGUAUGUGGCAGAUACCUAACACAUAUCAUGCUAGAGCCAGGUCCCACUUCCCAGGGAAUCCUCUUUUCUUUGGCCUCUCUUUCUCUUGCCCCUGUUCAGACCUGCAGGUCCUUUGAUCCAUUGUGUCUCCAACCCCAGAUCCUUUGGUCUUUGAAACAGGAGACGAAGAGGCAGCUCCUGUCUGCUCCCCACACUUAGUCACUGUAAUAUAUCCACCAGAGGAGUCAGGAGCUCCAGCCCAUAGGCCAUCAGAGCAGCAUAACUCCACCCUGGGCUGGUGUGAUUUAUUUCUGGGAAGGCUGGGGCUUGAAGAGAGGGGAGGUUUAAGAAUUAACUCCUCAUAAAACUUAAACAAGUAAAGAAGAGAAAGCAAUAGAGUCAUCUGGUGUCACUUUAGGCUCAUCAGCUUUCCAACUUUCCCCAACUUUGGAGAAAAGAAGACAUACUGAAUUGUUAAUUAAUGGGGCCUUCUAGAUGUUACGCGUGCAAGAUAAUAUGGGUAUCACACUGCCUCCAAUCACACAAUGCUGGCCAUAUAUUUUGCUGUUGUAGUUGUUUUAAACAAACAGAAAACUGUGAGGUCAGUGAUAAAGCAUUGAGAAACGCCCCAUGCCGUUUCUUUUGGGGUUCAGCCGUUUCUGAAAUCAAAGAACUGCAAGAUGAUUUAGAAACAUCUUCAGCCAAACCCAAACUGUUGACUGAUUUUGGGAAAAACCCUGAAAGCAAAUAUUCUACAUGCCAUAAGACUAAGAAGAGCUGAAGAAGCCAGCCAGAAUCUGUAGGCCUUAAGAAUAAAUAUUGGGCAGAGAUGGAGAAAGGAGAAAGUAUGGUGAAGAACAAUUAAUGUGGAUAAUUCAAAGACAUUGGACAAUCCAGAGGUCCUCAUUUGACCUGUGUUGCUAUAGUCUAAUGUUCUAGAUUUAAUUUAUAUGGUGUUUAAAGGCAAGAAUAAAAGACCAAAGAAAGGAGAGGCCUUUUUGAAGUGUCUCUGUUAAUUUUAUUAACCUGAAGAAGAAAUUAUUAAUUUGGUAGAAGGUGAACCUAUGUUCACCAGCCAGGUAAGGUUAAAAACUCAUUGAAUGCUCACAAAAGCCCCGGGAGGUCAUUGUUUCUUAUCUGAUCUGGUGCCAGCAAUGCCAGAAUUCAAACCCGCCUCUCUCCUGUGCUCCA
rnacentral:lncRNA from 1 species